rnacentral:rRNA from 1 species
AUUGAACGCUGGCGGCAUGCCUUACACAUGUAAGUCGAACGGUAACGGGCCUUCGGGUGCCGACGAGUGGCGAACGGGUGAGUAAUGCAUCGGAACGUACCUUUCAGUGGGGGAUAACGUAGCGAAAGUUACGCUAAUACCGCAUAUUCUGUGAGCAGGAAAGCAGGGGAUCGCAAGACCUUGCGCUGAUUGAGCGGCCGAUGUGAAAUUAGCUAGUUGGUGAGGUAAAGGCUCACCAAGGCGACGAGCUGUAGCGGGUCUGAGAGGAUGAUGCGCCACACUGGAACUGAGACACGGUCCAGACUCCUACGGGAGGCAGCAGUGGGGAAUUUUGGACAAUGGGGGCAACCCUGAUCCAGCCAUGCCGCGUGAGUGAAGAAGGCCUUCGGGUUGUAAAGCUCUUUCGGCCGGGAAGAAAUCGCACGGGCUAAUACCCUGUGUGGAUGACGGUACCGGAAUAAGAAGCACCGGCUAACUACGUGCCAGCCGCCGCGGUAAUAC